AACCGUAAAAGAGAAAUGAAGGGCCAUAGGCAAGGAAGACGGGGAACGAAAACGUGGAAGAGACGGCGGGGAAUUUUCAUUUCAAAACUCAGAUCAAAUUGCUAAAUUAACAGCGAGACAAACGAAAGCGAGCGCCCUUAGAGGAACUUGUUUUGACUUCCUUCCCUUUCCCGCUUUCGGGCCCCCCAGAAAUCACAGCAAGCCAGAACGUUUGAACGCGAUGGAGAACGCAGAGUUAAACAAAUUUUAAACUGGUUGUUGAACUGGAAUCCGCGAAGAAAGAGAAGAGGGCAGCAAGCGCAAGGGGGCAAGUGGGAACUACAAAGAUGGGCCGUGUGAAACGGUGUUUUAAACUUGCAUCCCACUCCAUCCCGCACGGGGUUAACGGUUAUUAUGAGGGCGAGUGAGAGAGUUCUGACCGCUUAUCAGUAGUUUCUCAUUUGGUUCUGCCCGCCGUUAUUUUUUUUCCAAUCACGAAUACGCUUUUGAUUGACAAUCGCAACGGAAAAUCACAAAUCUGGUCCCUCUAUCAAGAUCAAAACAAAACGGUGUGCCAACAACUAUUCGCGGCAACAGAGGGUAAACAGAACAGGGAAAAAUCAAAUAGAAUAAAAAAUGAAAUCGGAAUCUUGUCUAAAAAACAUCGGGGCGAUAAGUCGUCGGUCGAGUGGCAACAAAAUAAACACAAAGAGGAAAAACAAAAUACAGCAAUUAAAAGAUUAACAAAGCACGGCGGCAGCAACAACAACUAACCGAGAAAUCAAAAGGAACAGAACGAAAAUGUUUUUUAUGCGUUUUAAAUUUCCCAAGCGAUAGAACAGCAUACAAAAGUGCGUAAAAACACAAUUGACCUUCAAAAAUUUUUUGCGCAAAAUAUAAAAACAAUGUGAUUAUCGCCCCGAUCCGAUGCAAUAAAAACAUUACCUUUUUCA
rnacentral:sRNA from 1 species